GACGAACCGUGCGAACGUUGUUCGGAAUCACUGGGCCUAAAGGGCGCGUAGGCGGGCUGUCCAGUCUGGGGUGAAAUGCCGCGGCUCAACCGUGGAACUGCCUUAGAUACUGACGGCCUCGAGGAAGGUAGGGGCAUGCGGAACUGUAGGUGGAGCGGUGAAAUGCGUUGAUAUCUACAGGAACUCCGGUGGCGAAAGCGGCGUGCUGGACCUUUUCUGACGCUGAGGCGCGAAAGCUAGGGGAGCAAACGGG
rnacentral:rRNA from 1 species